rnacentral:rRNA from 1 species
GGGUUGUGAGGUUAAGCGACUAAGCGUACACGGUGGAUGCCCUGGCAGUCAGAGGCGAUGAAGGACGUGCUAAUCUGCGAUAAGCGUCGGUGAGGUGAUAUGAACCGUUAUAACCGGCGAUUUCCGAAUGGGGAAACCCAGUGUGUUUCGACACACUAUCAUUAACUGAAUCCAUAGGUUAAUGAGGCGAACCGGGGGAACUGAAACAUCUAAGUACCCCGAGGAAAAGAAAUCAACCGAGAUUCCCCCAGUAGCGGCGAGCGAACGGGGAGGAGCCCAGAGCCUGAAUCAGUGUGUGUGUUAGUGGAAGCGUCUGGAAAGGCGCGCGAUACAGGGUGACAGCCCCGUACACAAAAAUGCACAUAUUGUGAGCUCGAUGAGUAGGGCGGGACACGUGGUAUCCUGUCUGAAUAUGGGGGGACCAUCCUCCAAGGCUAAAUACUCCUGACUGACCGAUAGUGAACCAGUACCGUGAGGGAAAGGCGAAAAGAACCCCGGCGAGGGGAGUGAAAAAGAACCUGAAACCGUGUACGUACAAGCAGUGGGAGCCUCUUUAUGGGGUGACUGCGUACCUUUUGUAUAAUGGGUCAGCGACUUAUAUUCUGUAGCAAGGUUAACCGAAUAGGGGAGCCGAAGGGAAACCGAGUCUUAACUGGGCGUUAAGUUGCAGGGUAUAGACCCGAAACCCGGUGAUCUAG